AAGCUUUUCUUCAGUUCUGCUUCAUGAGUACACAUCAUUGAAGUUUUGCAGCAAUGUUGUUUCUCACAUAAACUCACUUCAUUUUCUGUUCGGGGAUUUCAGUCUGAGUUUUCGCUUAAUCAAAAUCAUCAGCCAGCCUUAGUCAAUCGGAGCCUAGUUGGAACUGAGUACCGACAAAAACAACUGCUGGAGAGGCACAGACAAUAGAAAACGGGACCACGGUGUCGAUAACAUCCGCGAAAAACUUAAAUGCAUGUGUUUGGUUUAUCAGCGAUGUGUUUUGUACUUCAACAACGACUUUGAUUUUCUUGAUUAAUAUGGUCAUCUUUGGUGACCUAACAAGGUUGUUUACAUAUGGAUAUGGUGUUUUCUCGUACGGAAUAUAUGCGAAUGCUAUACCGCUGACCGUACAAACCAGUGUGACCAGCAAAUAUGUAUAUUCACCUUUUUGGGAAUUUUAGCAAAUUAGUACUCCAGCAGGAAACCUGUCGCCCGACCAUUUUGUGUGGGAAGUCAUUUUCACAAUGUACAUCAUUGGAUUGAGACUCUCAUUGUUCGUGUUUCUCAUUCACAACAUUCAUAAUUUUCUUCAAAGGUCUCGGACGAAGAUAGAAUGUUAUUCUCUAACUUAUGGUGCUUUUUUGUGUUCUAAUGUGUUUCUUCCUUAAGAUUGUAAAGAUAUUAAGUCUAAAGCAAAAGUUGGAGUAACGUGAACCUCAUAGAGUAAGCUUCAAGUCAAAAAACUAAGAAAGAACAUGUAUUUGAAAUAAUUGAACUUAGAUAUUUUAGUGCACAAAAUAUUGAUCUAUAAUGGUUCACUAUUCUUGUAAAUGUUUAUAAUGUUCCAAAAAUCUUUAGGUGAUAAGUUUAUAGUGUCAUAUUAUAGCUUGUUUUUGUGAACUACCACUCUUCAAAGAACGAAACAAGAUAUACUAUGUAUUCCUUAACUUCUGAAAGUUGAAUGUGUUAUGUUAUUACUUAUCUCAAGCUAAUGGUUUGGUUCAAUUACUAUUUGAGGAUGCUCCUUGUGUAUUUAAGUAAAUUUUGUAGCUUGUGAAACCCUGGUUAAAAUCAUAUGCUUCUCUGAUAGAUAAGUGUGGCCUAUUUUAAACGUUCAUAUAUACUACAGGUAAACAAAUGAGGAUCAUUACAAUGAGAAUCAUUGAUUUUGUUCAGUAAAAGAAUGUUAUUGAGUCAGUUUUGUUAUUUUUUCUUGCCCAAGAGUUUGAUAUAGAGAUUCUAUUGUUAUUUUUUCUUGCCCAAGUGUUUGAUAUAGAGAUUCUAAUAUAAUCUAUAGUAUAUCUUAUUCUAAACUAACAGAAACUACAUGAGGCUAGAUGCACUGAUAUUUGUUUAGCAACUGGAACUGACUGGAUUCCAAAAUCUUGGAAGAUUCUCAAACUUAAGCUCUACAUGAAUCAGUUAGUUUUUCAAAAGUGCUUUCAUUAUGUUAGCAUAAUUUGCUUUAAUUGCAUUAUGUUACAACAUUUUAUUUUUUCUUCCAAUCCUAGGUAAAACAGAUAGAUAUGUAUGAUAUAAUUGCAUUAUGUUAGCAUAAUUUGCUUUACAGUAGCAAAUAGAAUUCAAAUGCAUGUUUGUAAUUUAUAGUUUCUUUGGGGAAGCAUACUUUUGGGAGUCUUUCAGUGUUAGACCUUACUUUUGGGGUUUAAGAGGUACAUGACAGUAAGAGAUGUGGCCUUAAAUUGUGGUUCACUUGCAUAUGGAGUUUUUGGAAGGUAAGAAACGGUCAAUUAUUCCGCAAUAAGAUUUUGUAGACAGGAUGGUAAAGAAUAUAAAAACUACCUCUUGGAAUUGGCUUAACUGGUAGUAAUGCCCAACAGCAAGCCUAGGCUCCUAGAGGUCCUUAAGUUUCAAGUUGUAGGUGUUGAUUUCGAUUUGGUCAAAUCAUCAACUAGAAAAUGGUCUAGAUGAGGAGUGCUUGUAGUGUUUCAUGGGAAGCUAUUGUUUUGAUCAUUUCAGAAUCUGUUGAGGUUGGAAGGAAGUGGAUUAGCAGUUCAUUUUUAGGCUUCCUAUAGGGAGCAUUAGUAUUGCACCAUGGUUUCAGGCUCAUCGAAUUGAUGUUGAAUUUGGUGUUGUAAAAAUUUAUCUUAAGAUUCUGCAGCUUCGUUUUGUUGUUGAGCAAUAGAGGAGGUUAUUUGAACCCGCUGGUCCACUUGCACAUGGAUUAAUUGCUUCCCUAUGGUAGGCAUCUGAGUCUCAGGCACUACAUCAUGGGCAAAGUCUUCAUCUUCUACAAGAUGGUUGGUAUUGGCUUGCUUAUAGAUCUUUCUAUUCUCCUCCUUUCUCCUAUCCAUAUCAAGUUGCGGAUCAACCACUUUCUUCCUCUUGCACGCUUCAUAAAUAUGACCAAUGUUGUUGCACUCUUGACAGAAUUCAGGCAGAUUUUCAUAAUCAAACUUUACAAAGAACGUAUAGAAUUGUCUUUUAACUAACACCUUAUAUAUCAACUCCAUAGCUACGUCAAUGUCCACCAAAAUUCUCACGAAGUGGCAGAAAGGUUUAUCAAAACAACCUUUACUACUUACAGAGUUUGUGUAUAACGGUGUCCCCAUACUGUUGGCAAUGGUAAAAACAAUUCUUGGCCUCCAAUAUUCUUGAGAUAAACUAUGUUUAUCGCCAUCUCUCCGAUUUCAAUCACAACCUUUAUAUCGACAAUGUUGUGUUCAAUAAAAGAUAAGUUUUAACAAUUUAUACUAUGAAGUCUAAGCUUCUUUGACAUUUAUUAGAUUAAAUUAUAUAUUUAUUAUUAGAUAAAUUAUCACACAUUAGUUCUCUCUCUAAAAAAAAUUUGGUUGAUCCAACUUGAAUUCUGGAGGAUCAUUGAAUGCCUAUUAAUAAUUGAGAUGGGAAUGUGAAUUGUGCUCCAAUAUCAUGUUCUAGAGAGGAGGUUCACAUGUACGUCAACUAGUAGAAUGUUUGGGAGGGAUGAGAUGUCUUUCGCCUAAAACAUGAGUUUCCCCAAGUCCUUGGUUUGGGGAAUGUCUCUUGUAUGCUCAUGUGCCUACGGUAGGAGGGAAAUAUGCCUAGGUUCAUUAGAGUUCUAUUAUAGAACUGUAGCUUCAUCUUGACUGUUAGAGGCGUAGUUUUUAAUCUUAUAAUGAAUAAUAAUGCCUUUAUUAUGAGUGUAAACUUGGGAUUAUCCAACAUUAACCCACUUACUUGCUACCGUUAAAAGAAUUUGUCACACUUGUUAUUGAGGGUUAUUAUAUGUCAAAGAUAAUCUGUACAAAAUUUCACUGAGUUUAUAAACUAAA